rnacentral:rRNA from 1 species
GUCUCAGUUCGGAUUGUAGUCUGCAACUCGACUACAUGAAGCUGGAAUCGCUAGUAAUCGCGAAUCAGAAUGUCGCGGUGAAUACGUUCCCGGGUCCUUGUACACACCGCCCGUCACACCAUGGGAGUCAGCAACGCCCGAAGCCGGUGACCCAACCGAAGGGAGGGAGCCGUCGAAGGUGGGGCCGAUAACUGGGGUGAAGUCGUAACAAGGUAAC